rnacentral:tRNA from 1 species
UGGCCGAGUGGUUAAGGCGAUGGGUUAGAGAUCCAUUGGGUAUCCCCGCACAGGUUCGAAUCCUGU